ensembl:lncRNA
GAAAAUAAUACAGAAUUAAUCAUAAUAGUUUAAGAGUUUCACAGAUGUAUUUGAUUCCUCCAAUAUUUUUUAUGAGGAAACAUUUUGGACUAUUUGCAUGUUGCUGAGAAAGAAUUGAUAUUUUAAAAAAAGACAUCCGGAUGUUUUUGAGAUUUUUUUAUACAAACAUUUUCUGAUGUUUCUAGAUUAAUUGGGCAAAUGUACUGGGUUAGGUUCGUAUCAGCUAUAAUACUGAUUACACAUAUCUGAACUCAUAUUGUCUAACACCAGGCAGGUGUGUCUUUACAGAGCCAAAACAUAGGCCUUUUCUCAAUUGUGUUCUGCUCGCUUCCUGUCUCCUCACCUCUCUCUCCUCUCUCCUUGACUCCUCUCUCGGGUCUAUUUGAAAACCCACUGGAAGAGGGAAAGGACAUUCUGGAUGGAGAUGAGGAGAUGAGGAGCGAGAAAUGCUAACUUUGAAAAGGGAGACAGAUUCUGGCUCUAUUUAAUCUCAGAAACCAACAGAAAGUGACUUUCAGGUCUGAUGUUUAGGCCUACUAAGUAUCAAACCCACACUGUCAGUCCAUUAGGUCAUUUCCGUUCAGAUGAUCUGAUGUGUAUUGUAUCCAAGUAUGACAUAGUAUGAACCCUAAUAAAGUGUCACGAAAGAAUGUUUCUGUUCAUGAGGAUAAUAAAGAUAAUGGUGUUGAUGAAGAUGAAGAUGUGGGGAUGAUGAUUAUGUGUGUUAAGAUAAUGAUGAGGAUCUUUUUUUCAUAUUUAGAAGACUAAAUGUGAGACUCUGCACCAAUAGGUUCAACAGUAGAACAUUUAGGACGAGAGAGAUUCUAAUAUCCCAUGGUUCAACAAGGGACCAUGUUUCGUGUUUGGUAUGACUGGGAGUGAAUGCUAAAGUGAACAGUAAACUUAUGGUGAAUUUCAGCAGAAAUAUUCCAAAAAAGCCUAGCAAAACUGAUUUACCAUCAUUCUAUUAAUUUAGAUGUUUUAAGUGAUCUAAAGCCCAUUAUAACCACUGCUCAUGUUUUCAACGAUAAUCUAUCAAUGCACUGGUCCUAUGAAUUAAUUUUUUUCCUAACACAUCCACAUGGAAUCUCACAUAGUCUUAACCUGAUAUUGUUGAACCUAGCUAGGCUUCAGGGUGCCACAAAAAAGGCUUCAGAAUGUUGAAGGAACAGUCUUUGGAUUGUCAAUCCAGGCUUCAGAAUGUUGAAGGAACAGUCUUUGGAUUGUCAAUCCAGGCUUCAGAAUGUUGAAGGAACAGUCUUUGGAUUAUCAAUCCAGGCUUCAGAAUGUUGAAGGAACAGUCUUUGGAUUGUCAAUCCAGGCUUCAGAAUGUUGAAUGAACAGUCUUUGGAUUGUCAAUCCAGGCUCCAGAAUGUUGAAGGAACAGUCUUUGGAUUGUCAAUCCAGGGUUCAGAAUGUUGAAGGAACAGUCUUUGGAUUGUCAAUCCAGGCUUCAGAAUUUUUAUUUGUGAUGGAACCUGACCUUCAACCAUCAGAAGCCUUGUCUUUUUAACCCUUGAGGGAAGAGGGAGUGAGCCUAGGGUGUGUUCUGGCUGUCAAAAGACAUGCUAACUGUCCGCAAUAAUUUCCCAGAACUGAACGAGUGUUUCCAAGGCUGUACUUGUAACGUUUUAUUGUUGCUGAUUAUUAUAUUGAUCAAACAUUGUCUUGAAGGAUGUUCCCUGUUGUCUAAAAUAUAAACUUUUUUAUUCCUGA